UGCCGGCUUUAAUUAAAUCCUUUUUAAUCUGACUUGGUGAAGUCAAUGGGAGGAUUGAAAUUGACUGGUUAAUUUCUUCUCUUCUAUCCUUUAAUAAAAUCCUCAAAAAUUAUUAGGUCCCUAAAAAUGAUUAAGUUAUAGUGAUAACUAAGUCAUAGCCUCCCAUUAAGUGAGUGAUAAUGAGUCCAUUAGUUUAAUAAUCACUAGAGGCCCAAGGCCUAGUGCUUAUUGACUAAUGGAAUUAUCAUUCAUAAUAUGAUCAUUUGGUUGAGUCUUUUUGAUGGUGGUCAGGUUGGCCGGCCAA
rnacentral:lncRNA from 1 species